rnacentral:rRNA from 1 species
AGUGAACGCUGGCGGUAGGCCUAACACAUGCAAGUCGAACGGCAGCACAGUAAGAGCUUGCUCUUACGGGUGGCGAGUGGCGGACGGGUGAGGAAUACAUCGGAAUCUACUUUUUCGUGGGGGAGAACGUAGGGAAACUUACGCUAAUACCGCAUACGACCUACGGGUGAAAGCAGGGGAUCUUCGGACCUUGCGCGAUUGAAUGAGCCGAUGGCGGAUUAGCUAGUUGGCGGGGUAAAGGCCCACCAAGGCGACGAUCCGUAGCUGGCCUGAGAGGAUGAUCAGCCACACUGGAACUGAGACACGGUCCAGACUCCUACGGGAGGCAGCAGUGGGGAAUAUUGGACAAUGGGCGCAAGCCUGAUCCAGCCAUACCGCGUGGGUGAAGAAGGCCUUCGGGUUGUAAAGCCCUUUUGUUGGGAAAGAAAAGCAGCAGGUUAAUACCCCGCUGUUCUGACGGUACCCAAAGAAUAAGCACCGGCUAACUUCGUG